GGUGGCUCAGUGGUAGAGCGCUUGCCUUGCAGGCAUAAGACCCUGGGUUCGAUUCCUCAGUACCA
rnacentral:tRNA from 1 species